AGUGAACGCUGGCGGUAGGCCUAACACAUGCAAGUCGAACGGCAGCACAGUAAGAGCUUGCUCUUACGGGUGGCGAGUGGCGGACGGGUGAGGAAUACAUCGGAAUCUACUUUUUCGUGGGGGAUAACGUAGGGAAACUGACGCUAAUACCGCAUACGACCUACGGGUGAAAGCAGGGGAUCUUCGGACCUUGCGCGAUUGAAUUAGCCGAUGUCGGAUUAGCUAGUUGGCGGGGUAAAGGCCCACCAAGGCGACGAUCCGUAGCCGGUCUGAGAGGAUGAUCAGCCACACUGGAACUGAGACACGGUCCAGACUCCUACGGGAGGCAGCAGUGGGGAAUAUUGGACAAUGGGCGCAAGCCUGAUCCAGCCAUACCGCGUGGGUGAAGAAGGCCUUCGGGUUGUAAAGCCCUUUUGUUGGGAAAGAAAAGCAGCAGGUUAAUACCCCGCUGUUCUGACGGUACCCAAAGAAUAAGCACCGGCUAACUUCGUG
rnacentral:rRNA from 1 species